UUGAACUACCUCCGAUCCAGAAUAAGUGUCGCAGUUUUGAACUAACGCCUAGUUCAAAACUGCGACACUUAUUUUGGACCGGAGGGAGUAAUGUUU
rnacentral:pre_miRNA from 1 species